GAUGAACGUUGGCGGCGUGGAUAGGCAUGCGAGUCGCGCGAGAAUCGUAGCAAUACGAGGAAAGCGGCGAAAGGGAGAGGAAUACGUAGAAAUCUGCCCUCGGGACUGGGAUAGCGGCGGGAAACUGCCGGUAAUAACAGAUAACGUCUUCGGACCAAAGGUGUGAUUCCGCCUGAGGAUUCGUCUACGACCUAUUAGCGUGUUGGCGGGGUAAUGGCCCACCAAGGCGACGAUGGGUAGCAGGUGUGAGAGCACGACCUGCCUCAUUGGGACUGAGACACUGCCCAGACACCUACGGGUGGCUGCAGUCGAGAAUCUUCGGCAAUGGACGAAAGUCUGACCGAGCGACGCCGCGUGCGGGAUGAAGGCCUUCGGGUUGUAAACCGCUGUCGUAGGGAACCAAAUUCACGGGGGUUCUCCCCUGUGAUUGAGAGAACCUAGGAGGAAGGAGAGGCUAAGCUCGUGCCAGCAGCCGCCGUAAAAC
rnacentral:rRNA from 1 species